AUCCAGCUGAUGAGUCCCAUAAAGGACGAAACUCACACCCUGGAU
rnacentral:hammerhead_ribozyme from 1 species